CCGCACAAGCGGUGGAUGAUGUGGAUUUAAUUCGAUGCAACGCGAAAAACCUUACCUACCCUUGACAUGUACGGAAGCCACGAGAGAUCGAGGUGUGCUCGAAAGAGAACCGUAACACAGGUGCUGCAUGGCUGUCGUCAGCUCGUGUCGUGAGAUGUUGGGUUAAGUCCCCGCAACGAGCGCAACCCUUGUCAUUAGUUGCUACGAAAGAGCACUCUAAUGAGACUGCCGGUGACAAACCGGAGGAAGGUGGGGAUGACGUCAAGUCCUCAUGGCCCUUAUGGGUAGGGCUUCACACGUCAUACAAUGGUACAUACAGAGGGCCGCCAACCCGCGAGGGGGAGCUAAUCCCAGAAAGUGUAUCGUAGCCCGGAUUGUAGUCUGCAACUCGACUACAUGAAGUUGGAAUCGCUAGUAAUCGCGGAUCAGCAUGUCGCGGUGAAUACGUUCCCGGGUCUU
rnacentral:rRNA from 1 species